CCCUGAGAUGUGAUGCCGAGCCGAUUGUGGUGAAGUGGAUGAUCCUAUGCUGCCGAGAAAAGCCUCUAGUGAGUGUUGUGGCGGCCCGUACCCUAAACCGACUCAGGUGGUCAGGUAGAGAAUACCAAGGCGAUCGGGUGAACUGUGGUUAAGGAACUCGGCAAAUUGCCCCCGUAACUUCGGGAGAAGGGGGACCUCUGCUGGUGAUGGGCUUUACGUUCUGAGCUGGUGGGGGUCGCAGUGGCCAGGGGGAAGCGACUGUUUACUAAAAACACAGGUCCGUGCGAAGUCGUAAGACGAUGUAUACGGACUGACGCCUGCCCGGUGCCGGAACGUUAAGGGGACCGCUUAGCCAGCUUCGGUUGGCGAAGGUGAGAACUUAAGCGCCGGUAAACGGCGGUGGUAACUAUAACCAUCCUAAGGUAGCGAAAUUCCUUGUCGGGUAAGUUCCGACCUGCACGAAUGGCGUAACGACUUCCCCGCUGUCUCAACCACAGACCCGGCGAAAUUGCACUACGAGUAAAGAUGCUCGUUUCGCGCAGCAGGACGGAAAGACCCCGGGACCUUCACUACAGCUUGACAUUGGCGUUUGGAACGUCUUGUGUAGGAUAGGUGGGAGACUAGGAAGCUGUCACGCUAGUGAUGGUGGAGUCAUUGGUGAAAUACCACUCUGGUCGUUUUGAACGUCUAACUCUGGUCCGUGAUCCGGAUCGGGGACAGUGUCUGGUGGGUAGUUUAACUGGGGCGGUUGCCUCCUAAAGAGUAACGGAGGCGCCCAAAGGUUCCCUCAGCCUGGUUGGCAAUCAGGUGUUGAGUGUAAGUGCACAAGGGAGCUUGACUGUGAGACUGACAGGUCGAGCAGGAGCGAAAGCUGGGACUAGUGAUCCGGCAUCGGCGUGUGGAAGCGGUGUCGCUCAACGGCUAAAAGGUACCCCGGGGAUAACAGGCUGAUCUUCCCCAAGAGUCCAUAUCGACGGGAUGGUUUGGCACCUCGAUGUCGGCUCGUCGCAUCCUGGGGCUGGAGUAGGUCCCAAGGGUUGGGCUGUUCGCCCAUUAAAGCGGUACGCGAGCUGGGUUUAGAACGUCGCGAGACAGUUCGGUCCCUAUCCGCUGCGCGCGCAGGAGACUUGAAGGGGGCUGUCCCUAGUACGAGAGGACCGGGACGGACGAACCUCUGGUGUGCCAGUUGUACCGCCAGGUGCACGGCUGGUUGGCUACGUUCGGAAGGGAUAACCGCUGAAAGCAUCUAAGCGGGAAGCUCGCCUUGAGAUGAGGUCUCCCACCCCGUGAGGGGGUAAGGCUCCCGGUAGAUCACCGGGUUGAUAGGCCGGAGGUGGAAGCACGGUAACGUGUGGAGCUGACCGGUACUAAUAGGCCGAGGACUUGACC
rnacentral:rRNA from 1 species